rnacentral:rRNA from 2 species
AGUAACUGCUGGUACCUUGACGGUACCUAUAGUCGUUGCUCCAGAAAGCCACGGCUAACUACGUGCCAGCAGCCGCGGUAAUACGUAGGUGGCAAGCGUUGUCCGGAAUUAUUGGGCGUAAAGCGCGCGCAGGUGGUUUCUUAAGUCUGAUGUGAAAGCCCACGGCUAUGCUCCGUGGAGGGUCAUUGGAAACUGGGGAACUUGAGUGCAAGAGGAAAGUGGAAUUCCAAGUGUAGCGGUGAAAUGCGUAGAGAUUUGGAGGAACACCAGUGGCGAAGGCGACUUUCUGGUCUGUAACUGACACUGAGGCGCGAAAGCGUGGGGAGCGAACAGGAUUAGAUACCCUGGUAGUCCACGCCGUAAACGAUGAGUGCUAAGUGUUAGAGGGUUUCCGCCCUUUAGUGCUGCAGUUAGCGCAUUAAGCACUCCGCCUGGGGAGUACGGUCGCAAGACUGAAACUCAAAGGAAUUGACGGGGGCCCGCACAAGCGGUGGAGCAUGUGGUUUAAUUCGAAGCAACGCGAAGAACCUUACCAGGUCUUGACAUCCCACUGCCCGGUAUAGAGAUAUACCUUUCCCUUCGGGGACAGUGGUGACAGGUGGUGCAUGGUUGUCGUCAGCUCGUGUCGUGAGAUGUUGGGUUAAGUCCCGCAACGAUAGUCACCCUUGAUCUUAGUUGCCAGCAUUCAGUUGGGCACUCUAAGAUGACUGCCGGUGACAAACCGGAGGAAGGUGGGGAUGACGUCAAAUCAUCAUGCCCCUUAUGACCUGGGCUACACACGUGCUACAAUGGAUGGUACAAAGGGCUGCGAGACUGCGAAGUUAAGCGAAUCCCAUAAAACCAUUCUCAGUUCGGAUUGCAGGCUGCAACUCGCCUGCAUGAAGCUGGAAUCGCUAGUAAUAGCUCGUAGGAUC